CUCACUUGUGUACUUACUGGAGGGUCACUGUGACAGGGCUCAGUUUACAAGCGUUUGAAGGUUCAAAAGAUAUUGAAGUCUCUCUACACUCUAUCAGAAUGCUUUGUACCUCAUGGAGAAGAGUGCUGGUGGAGAGUAUCCUUUGUCUUCAUCUAGUAGGUAUCUUGAAGUGUUUUCUUUCAAAAGAAAGAAAAUGGAGAACUGGAGGAAAGGAACAACUCAAAGGAAGUAAAGUGGCUUAUACAUCUUCCAUGAAGCACUUAUUAAAUGCUCCAAGACCAAAGGAAGAUGUAGGUUGGCAUCCAGAUGCCCGGCUGUGUGGUUUAAUACGCCUGUUUCCAGCUUUAGCAUAAAGAGUUAGUUUGACCACCAGCAACAGUAAUCUCAAAUUUACAAAGAGGAAUUCCCAGGAGAGUGGGAUACAAGAUGGGCUGCGACUCAGCUCUAGGACUCAGCUGUGAGUUGACUUCAGAGACUGCAACUGUUGGUAUGUGGAUAACAUGAAUUCACUCCAGCACAACCUUUGGCAAAUCUGACUUUCGUAUCCCUCUGGACACAGCCUCUGCUCCAGAGCUGCAAAUUCCUCAUGAGCAGAAUGAAGCUCCUGAAGUUUUCAGCUCACACGUGUAUGGGGGAGCAUCUAGAGUUACAGAGAGAGCCUGCUUCAACUCUCCCACCUCAGCACCCAGUAGCUCCUUCCCAGAGUGGUCCUGGCAAUCUCUGGGCCCCAAGAGACAAACACAGAACUGGGAUGCCUCACAGAUCCUUAUUUUCAGACGCUGAGCUGGACUCUACUAUCUGGACCAGCAGCCACACUUGAACAACGUGGGAAGCUGUCUCAGAAGGACCAUUAAGGAUCUCUUUAAAUCACAAUCCAAACUCUGUAGGCUACUAGUUCUGGGGGCCAGCAUCAGACAGCACAGACAAACCACUUCUUUGAUUGGCUCUUCCUUGACCCACCUGGUCAGCUUGUUUAGUGGCAGUCGUGCUGAAUCAACAAGGAGCUUUUGGUGAAAGAAAGCUUUCAAUGAUGAAAUCUUCCCGAUUCGUCCCUAUGAUGGAGGAAAGGAAAAUGCUCUGGACAACCACAGAAGUGAUUGUCACUUAGCUGUAUCUGUCAAGAGCCACUCUGAAAGCUGACAGCCGUGUGCUAACAGAUGUCGUACAACUGCUAACAACAGGUAAAUCAAACCAGGGCCACUUGUCUGGAGAUACUUGUGGGUCUAUUUCUAUUCUGGAGAGCACAAUUGAUGUGGUAAGAGAGGAAAAAUAGUAGUAGCUUGGUUUUUAAAAGAAAAAGCACUGGUCUAGUCUGAAAUUAAUACAAAAAAUGCAUUCUUAGGUUUUCUCCUUUAUUGAAAAUUUUUCACAAACAACUGUCAUCUUGCUGCUGGAGAUAAAGGGAAAUUACUUUUACACACAUUCUGUCUUUUAUGGAUGAGGUAACAAUUCUUAUAUGAACCAGGCUAUGAGCAACCUGGUCUACUGGGAGGUGUCCCUACCUAAAGCAGGAGUGUUGGAACUAGCUGAUCUUCAAGGUCCCUUCCAAUCAAAACCACUCUAAGAUUCUAUGAUCUUUGUUACACCCAGACAUUGUGGGAGAUAUUAUAAUCUGUUGCAAAUUGACUUCAAUCUACAAUGUUCCUUUGAGGAUGAGCAUGACAACUCUUCUUCUACACGUUAGCACUUCUUGUGCUAUCACAAAUGAGUGUACAUAAUAAUAACACACCAAUUUGAUUUCAGUCAGCAUAGUACCAGCGUUAAUGGUAAUGUAUAUUGAAGACAUCAUCAGAAACACUAAUGUUUAGUUGUGUUCAGAAAUGAAAUAUUGAGGAACCUGUCGAUCUUGUGUUAAAGGGACAUUGUGUCUAAGAAUGUUUGGUGAAUUAAAAUGUCUUUAAGUCUUCUUGAUACAACUUAUCAAAAGCAAACCCAAGCUUGCUUUUCUGUAAACAGUCAUCCUGUUUUAUGAUGAUACCUCCAUGUACUGUCUGAACAAAUGUCAAAAGCGUAAGUUCUAUUGUUGUCUGCCUGCAGCUGUCAGGAAUGCAUUUCUGGAGAGAUCCAAAUAUCAGCUGUGGAGAUUUGUUGGAAAUAGUAGAAAAGCACAAAGCAAAAUAAAGGGAUUCAUUCACAAUUUGGAUAGUGCGAAGAAAUAAUAAACUCUUGCCAUCAACUGCAUUUUUCACUCCAUUCUUGUCUUAUCCAGGAAUGUGUAAAAUCCUCCCUUAGGAAACAUGACCUCUGAAGCAGGUCUUAUUGUGAUUUCUAAAUGUAUAUGACCUAUGGUCAGCAGAAUCAUUCUACCCUUAAUAAUCUAGAUGCUAGGACAGCCAUUUCCAUCUACUAAGAAAAUAACCAUUCAUGGGAGACUUCCAAGAACUGUAAGUUAUUGAAAGUUUUUUGCUGUAUUCAGUGUUAUCAGUUCUGUCCAAAUCAGCUUUUCUGAUGUUUUCCUCAUCCACCCCACACCUCUUCUCCAAACCUUUAUUUCUUUUCCUGCAGCAUUUAAUGGUGGAAAAUUGUUCCAAAGAUCUUGGAAGAACAUACGCUAAACUCUGUGGACUUUGUAUGCAUCUUAUCUCACAGGCAUUAGGAGAUGUUUAUUUGAAGAAAAACUGUAGAUUUGGGUUUUUGAAAAGGCGUUAUACUGUUAACUCUAUGAAGCAAAUUGUGGUUUUGCAGUUUGGAAACAGGUGCUCAAGGAGCUGCAACAAUAUGGGCCCACAGAAAUGAAAAAUAAGACCAGAAAGAUUCCUUUGAAAAAAUUGAUGCUUCUUCCUUUUACAUUUUUGGGCAUGUGUAAGUCACCUAAAUUCUAUUGUGACUUUUAUUGUCAUAAAUAUCCUAUACUAAACUGCUGCCCUGUAAGUCACAGUCCAUGUUGUUGUUUCAAGGUAAUUCUGAGCCUUGUUCUAUCAGAAAUUCACAAACUAAAAAUAAGUAAGUGGACUUUUAAUCCUGAGUUCUAGAGAAGCAUGUCUUUGAGAGUACUCUAGAUAUCACUGCAUUUUAUCAAAGUUAUCAGAACAAAUUCACCCUCAGUAUAAGUCAGCUGAUGUCAGCAGCAUUACACCAGAGAGAACUUGGCUCAGUGGAAUUGAGUAGAAGGUAUUAUUUAGUCCAUAUUGUAUGUAGUACAGCGGAAAACUUUUCACAGUUUUUCAAAUACUUUUAAAUCUUGCUUGGUAAACAUCUUUGCCAUUUCCUUCUGUCAUAAAUGUAAGUUGUUUUUUUUUUUUUCUUGUGAUGAUUAAUUAAACUAAAUUCCAUCUAUUGCUUAAGUUACACACCCAUAACAUGAAUAGUUAGAAAUGCUAACAGCCCAAGAUGAUGUUUACCAUGAAACCACAAGGCUCCACCUGUCAUGCUGCAAUGCUAUAAAAGAGACAUUGUUUGAGCUCAGCGCCAGAAAUUUUCAUCCUCAGAAUAUGAAAUCUAUUUUGCAUUUGCCAGGUUGCCCUAACACCCCUGAGAAAUAUAGGUUUACUCCUGCAAAGCAAGCAUUCUAAUAACAGUAUAGCCAGCAGUGGACUUUCAGCUGUAACAAAUCAUCUUACUUUCUUCCAUUUAAGUGAAGUUAUGCCUAUUUAGUGCACAGCAAUGCACCUGUGUCACCAUCCCUGGCACCAGUCUGUCUCACCUGUUCCCUCAACUGGAAACUGGAUUCUGAAUUGCCUCAAUGGUGUUUUCCAUAAGACCCCAAGGUCUCAUGGUUCCACUGAUGAACAUUCAGUAGCAUCCAGCCUUCCUGUCCAAUCUCAGAAGCAUCUCAUCAGUACCAUUAACAGUCAGAGAGUACGUGCUGCCUACUCUCCAGCAUGGGUGAGGAUCAAACAGGUCAUACACAACCCUGGCUUAUUGUAGAUGCUGCUGCAGCCCAGAAGCAACCUAUUGCACCUGAUGUAAUGCAGCAGGUAUGAUUUUGUGAAAUGCCUUUGUGACUAAAGUGUCCCUAGCAAAUUGUCAGUGAUUCUGUAUCUAAGAUACACUGUUUUCAAAGGACAUCAUUAUGUAAGGUCAGUGCCUUAACACGUUUACCACAGGAAUAGGAUGGACCCUUGGACUCAGAAAUGUUUCAACCUGGGAUUUUGUUUUAAUCAAUGAAGGAAGCCUGCUAUAAAUCGUAGAAUGGAUUGGGUUAGAAGGGACCUCAAAAAUCGUCUAGUUCCAACCCCUCUGCUAUGGGCAGGGCUGUCAGCCACUAGGUCAGACUGCCCGGGAACCCUUCAAGCCUGGUCUUGAGCACCUGCAAGGAUGGGGCAUCCACAGCUUUUCUGGGCAGGCUGUUCCAGUGCCUCUCUGACAAAGACCCAGGUAAAACAUUGGGAAGUAGUUGCAGUAUUUUGAAUGAGCAAUUCAACUAGAUUAAGAAGUAACUACAAAUAGAGCUGCUGCUUUUGCUUUCCAGAGAUAGAACAUGCUAAUGUGUGUAAUCUCAAAGCCUGACAAGGAGAUGAGGAAGGAAGGGGAUAUAGUAGACUGUCAAAAUGCAAGUGUUAAUAAUGUUCACUAAAUGAAGAGCAGGAGGGAAUGACAAAGAAUAUUCAUUCACUAUUUGGAUUCAUUAAAAACAUUGAAUUUCUACAACCUGUUACUAAUCAUUCUUAAAUGGUUCUUCUACAUUUCAUUAGUAACACAACACUGCUUAACGUUUUACUGACUAAAAACUGGUAUUUGAAUAAAUUGGGCUCUGGCCACGAUCUUGUAUCUUUUCCCACAAGACAAUACUUGGGCCAAAAUACAGAUUUGGGGGACUGAUAAAAUAUUGUCUGAUCCUAAUACUUUUGUAAAAUCAGAACAAAUUGAUCGUAAUAAUUUUACAUCCACUCUAAAAAUAAAGUAACUACCAAAUUCACUUGUGACAAAAGGAGGAAACGUUGGAUGUGAUAUAUUCAAUAAUGUCAGAUAAGCAAAACAGUUAACAAAUUGUGUUCCUCAUGAGGUUUUCUUUGUUAUUCUCAUGUUAAAUGUUUAAACACUUGCCUCUAUCUAAACAUUUGUUUCUCAUUAUAGUACUCACACAAAAAGUUAUUCCUUCUGAUGCCCCCUAAGGGCAGGUGUAGCAGAAAUGCUAAGUCACAGCCUGAAACAGUGAUUGAGCACCUGGUGGGAGGGCAGGGCCAACCCACCCCUUCUCAGACCUCAUAUAAGGACUGGCAGUGGAGGUAAGGGUAUCCUUCUGGAGAUCCCUGCCUACGGGAUGUCUCUUAAAGGUAAACAAUUUUUCUUCCUUUGUUUCUGUGUCCCCAGCUGCUGCACUUGGGCUUGUUCUCAUUUGCUGAAGCCUAGGAUUGUGUUGCUUUGCUUCUAUCGCUAUAUUUUCUAUCGUAUUAUAGCAUUACGAUUGGUGACUCAGGCAGAUACUUAUUUAUGAUGAUUACCUUAAAAAUAUGUGCAUUGGUUAGUCACUGGGACCCCAAAUACACUGAAAGAGGAACUCCUGGGGGAAACCUCAGGAUUUCUAGGGUACCUGUGGCUAAGUGCCGCACGUGUUAUUGAAGAACAGGGACCUAUCAGGGACAAUGGUCCCAUUAUUAAAUCGUCUUCAAAAAUGACAAACUUCUUGAAUAAAUUAAAACAACUUUUUUGACAUCUGAGGAAAGAGUAGUGACAGCAUCCACUAUGGCAUAGCUGCUGCUACUCACUAUUAACAUACAUCCUUCCUCAGAGGAAGAAUUGAAGGGUGAAAACGAGCCUUUAAAAGCUCCUAUCAGGCAGCUGAAGAGUAAAAUUGUAUCUUUGACAGGCCAAACUGCCUCCCCUUCAAAUGAAACUUCUCCUUUGAAAUUAAGACCCAUAUCAUUUGAAGGGGAGUAGAACUUGGAUCAGGAGGAUCCUUGGAUCCUACUCGAACCACUAUCCUAUUUGAUAUAGUACCUAGUAGUAUCCUAUCUGAAUCAGUACCACUAUAUUGAUGAUCUCACUUUGACAUCUGACUCGCUGGAGGCAUUAGAAAAUGCAGUAGAUUCAUUAACCUACUCAGUUAAAAGAGAAAGGAUGGGCUAUAAACCCACAAAACGUGCAAGAGUCGGGGGUUAAAUUCCUGGGCGUAGUUUGGUCAGGAAAGACCGAAGUACUACCCAGUGCAAUAAUAGAAAAGGCUCAGGCAUUCCCAGUCCCUACCAUGCCAAGACAGCUGCAAGAAUUUUUGAGUAUAUUGGGAUACUGGUGUUCCUUUAUACCCUACUUAAUUCUGCUGAGGCCUCUGUAUUGACUCACAAAGAAAGGCCAAAAACGGGACUAGAGGAGAAUGGAACAAGAGGCCUUCCAGCAAGCAAAACAAAUCAUUGGCUCAUGCUGUGAAGGGAGGAGUGUAGCAGAAAUGAUAAGUCACAGCCUGAAUCAGUGAUUGAUCAUCUGGUGGGAAGGUAGAGCCAACCCAGAGGAGCUCAGGUGCGUGCAUUGCACCUGAAUGAAUGGAAGGGGUGGAGCCAGGAGCCACCCCUUCCCAGACCUCAUUUAAGGGCUGGCAGUGGAGGUGAGGGUAUCUUUUUGGAGAUCCCUGCCUACCAGAGGCCCUUCAAAGGUAAGCAUGUUUUCUUCCUUUGUUUCUGUGUUCCCAGCUAUUGUACUUGGGCUUGUUCUUGUUUGCUGCAGCCUAGGAUUGCGUCACCUUGCUACUAUUGCUAUACUUUCCAUCAUGUUAUAGCAUUACAACAGGUUCAUCAGAAUUACCUAUGUGAAUUGUAUUUCAGUUGGUUUUGCAACUUUCAGAGGAAGCAUUCAAACAAAUAGCUCACGAUGGGAUUCAAAAUAAUAUAAUGUGAACUGUCAAAAACCUAGAGAUCUAGCCUGCAUCAGUUAUCCAUGUUCUCAAGCACAAGUCUUCCCACCAGUAGAAGUAACCAAGAUCCUGGAGAUAUUGUGGACUUUUCUUUGACCUCUCAGUGAAUUCAAUAAAAGAGAGGAUUUCUGACAGUGAUAUUUUUGACCAGUUGCACCUCUAACCAUGGGCAAGAUGGAAAGAUCCUGAUCCCAGUAUUGUCAUCUCCCUCCUCACCUUAUGACUUCAGGCAAGUUUCACUUUUCUCAGUCUCCCAUUACUGUUCUCCUACUGCCUCUGGUUGGUUUUACUCUACUCUCACCAAAUAGUUUCUCCUCAAUACUAUAUACUUCCUACUGGGAUUGAUACUAAUUGCCUGCUGUGGUUCCAGCUUGUUAUGACAUUGGAGCUAUUAGCACUGCUGGAGCAUGCCCACACUGGUGUUCCUUACCAAUCAACUUUUCAGUUUCCAAGCACAUGCAUUUCUGGGUAGUGUUUAUCAGGUAUUUUAAUGAUGGUAACCUUCUUUGUUGUGCAGUGUGACUACCACAUGGUAUGAAUCAAAAGUGGAAAGUCAAGAAGCAAAGGGAGCAGAGAUGGAGUAGAAUGGGUAUCUGAGGAGAAAAGAAAAUACUUUAAUCUCUCAGAGACUUCGGGAUGACCUCCAUCACCUCCUCCUUUGCUUCGUUCACAAGCAGCCUCUUCAACACCGAAGUGCCCCUUUG